GGGCAGAGUCGGUUGACGAGGCAAAGGAAUUGCUCGCGGAUCUCCUUGAUGAAACUGUACGAUCUGGCGUACAAAAGAUAUCCUCUGAUCCGAGCCAUCCACUUGAAAAUGAAGGUGCUCAAUUCUUCCAACCCAUGUCUGGUACCUUGACAGAAGCUAAAACCUCUGGGCCAU